rnacentral:misc_RNA from 1 species
AAGAGCCUCAAAAGCUCUUUGCACGAUCUUAAAUGACGUAUUUAUGUAUUAAACGGAAACUGGAAUAGUUUGUGCAUUUUCCCCUUUAGUUAUUUCUUCUUCUCCUUCAUUUUCCUUUGACAUUUCUUCCAAUGAUCUUCCUUUUGAUUCUGGCACUAAUAAUGUGAACAACAUUCCAAGAAAAUUCACACAACCUAACACAAUAAGUGCAUUUUUCACACCAAUUCCAGUAGGAUAACCCGUAUCG